CUGCCACCAGCCUUAUAGCAACACCUUGUCCUCAUUGGAUGAUCAGCUCUCAUGCUCUGCUCUGGAUGUAGCCUCUCCCACCCAGGAGGCCUGCCCCCAAGGGACUUGCAGUGGAGACUUGAGCUACCGCUUGUCAGAGGUGCAGGCUUCACAGACACAGCUGGAGCCAAGCACCCUGAUGACUAAUUGUCUACAGCUACAGCUGGAUCAAGAGUUGGACUGCGGGAAUGGCUUAGCCAGGCAGGGCCUUUUUUCCACCACCUGCAGCUUCACAGCCGAUGCUGAUUCUGGGACCCAAUGUCCCUCUCAAGAAUCUCCUUUGCUGCUCUAUGGAUUCUCACACCCGCAGCCAAGAUGCACCCCAGUGGCUCAGACACACUGUCUCUUGCUCACUUUCCCUGGAGUCCAGAGCAUGAACCAGGCUCCAGAUAAGAGGACAGAGAGAACCCCUUUUGUCUCAUUCAUAUUUUCCUUCAGCUGGUGAUUUCUCCUGCUGUCUAACAGGUCAAUUGUUUCUCUCCACACAUUUUCUUUCUCAAUCUUCUCAUGUUUCUAUUUUUUUUUUCCAAUUCAAUGGAUCAGAAUAGUCAUUAUAAUGUUAUAUUUAAUAUCUUUCAAAUCCCUAUGUAAUAUUUCUUCAUUAGAUUAAUACAUAUGGAUAUAUGCAUUGAUGUCAUUUGUCAUAUAGAUUAUGUGUAUUUGGCAUGUAUGCUACAUGGGGUGUAUAUGUAUAUGUAAUAGAUCAUAUAAUGAUGCAGGUUUUGUAAAUUCUCCAGGUUUAGGCUUCCCCGGUUCUUUUCUCUCAUCAGCUGCUGUAACCUCUGUCUGGUCUCACCCCUGUGUCCCAUGGGCUGCCACCCUGCCAGCCCCUUCCAUCCCCAUCACCUGUUUGAACUCAGCUCUGAUUUAACUUUCACUUUUAUAAUCUCUUCCCUCCCCAAAGCCCAGCCUACAUACAGUGUGAUUUCCUUGCUUUUGCCUUCUUUACCAGAAAGCUAUUUGUGUUUCUUAAUCCUGUGUUUCUUGAAUAUUUUGGGGGAUUGAGAGUGCCUUUGCCUCCUGACAUACUUGUUUUUACUGAGUAAUGUAAAAAAAGAUUCAACAAAAAAGGAAAUAUUAAAGUGAUUCUAUUGACUUCGGCUCACACUUUGGACUUUCUUGUCCAAGGCCACAUUCCAGAUUUGAUGUCCUUUGAGUGGAAGAGAAAGUCACAGUAAGAUCAUGGGUGCCAGUGGAUGCCAUUGGCUGUCGUUUCAUAUUCAGAGCUGGUUUUAGAGCCCUGCGCUGGCAUGAAGAACCCUCCACAGCUGGAAGACGAUGCACUUGAAGGCUCAGCAGACAACAUACAAGGGUGUCAAGUCAUGGGCCAUAUUGAUCACUCAGUGUCCUGAAACCAAAGAGUAGUAAAAGAAAACUCCCGUUCAGCAAGUGGAUUCCCUAGCCUUCAUCCUUAGGGCACAGAGGUAAUCACAUCUAUGACUCUU
rnacentral:lncRNA from 13 species